rnacentral:rRNA from 2 species
AAUCCAUAGGUUAAUGAGGCGAACCGGGGGAACUGAAACAUCUAAGUACCCCGAGGAAAAGAAAUCAACCGAGAUUCCCCCAGUAGCGGCGAGCGAACGGGGAGGAGCCCAGAGCCUGAAUCAGCAUGUGUGUUAGUGGAAGCGUCUGGAAAGGCGCGCGAUACAGGGUGACAGCCCCGUACACAAAAGCGCAUGUGCUGUGAGCUCGAUGAGUAGGGCGGGACACGUGGUAUCCUGUCUGAAUAUGGGGGGACCAUCCUCCAAGGCUAAAUACUCCUGACUGACCGAUAGUGAACCAGUACCGUGAGGGAAAGGCGAAAAGAACCCCGGCGAGGGGAGUGAAAAAGAACCUGAAACCGUGUACGUACAAGCAGUGGGAGCACAGGUUUACCUGUGUGACUGCGUACCUUUUGUAUAAUGGGUCAGCGACUUAUAUUCUGUAGCAAGGUUAACCGUAUAGGGGAGCCGUAGGGAAACCGAGUCUUAACCGGGCGUUAAGUUGCAGGGUAUAGACCCGAAACCCGGUGAUCUAGCCAUGGGCAGGUUGAAGGUUGGGUAACACUAACUGGAGGACCGAACCGACUAAUGUUGAAAAAUUAGCGGAUGACCUGUGGCUGGGGGUGAAAGGCCAAUCAAACCGGGAGAUAGCUGGUUCUCCCCGAAAGCUAUUUAGGUAGCGCCUCGUGAAUUCAUCUCCGGGGGUAGAGCACUGUUUCGGCUAGGGGGCCAUCCCGGCUUACCAACCCGAUGCAAACUGCGAAUACCGGAGAAUGUUAUCACGGGAGACACACGGCGGGUGCUAACGUCCGUCGUGAAGAGGGAAACAACCCAGACCGCCAGCUAAGGUCCCAAAGUCAUGGUUAAGUGGGAAACGAUGUGGGAAGGCCCAGACAGCCAGGAUGUUGGCUUAGAAGCAGCCAUCAUUUAAAGAAAGCGUAAUAGCUCACUGGUCGAGUCGGCCUGCGCGGAAGAUGUAACGGGGCUAAACCAUGCACCGAAGCUGCGGCAGCGACGCUGAUGCGUUGUUGGGUAGGGGAGCGUUCUGUAAGCCUGUGAAGGUGGCCUGUGAGGGUUGCUGGAGGUAUCAGAAGUGCGAAUGCUGACAUAAGUAACGAUAAAGCGGGUGAAAAGCCCGCUCGCCGGAAGACCAAGGGUUCCUGUCCAACGUUAAUCGGGGCAGGGUGAGUCGACCCCUAAGGCGAGGCCGAAAGGCGUAGUCGAUGGGAAACGGGUUAAUAUUCCCGUAC